AGAGUUUGAUCCUGGCUCAGAACGAACGCUGGCGGCGUGGAUAAGACAUGCAAGUCGAACGGGUUUAGUUCGGUAGCAAUACUGGAUUGAGCCAGUGGCGAACGGGUGCGUAACACGUGAGUCAUCUGCCUGAAAGUGGGGGAUAGCUCGCCGAAAGGCGAAUUAAUACCGCAUGUGCCCCGAAGCAAUUCGGGGUAAAGCCGGGGUAACCUGGCGCUUUUAGAGGAACUCGCGGCCUAUCAGCUUGUUGGUAAGGUAACGGCUUACCAAGGCUUCGACGGGUAGCUGGUCUGAGAGGACGACCAGCCACACUGGAACUGAGACACGGUCCAGACACCUACGGGUGGCAGCAGUCGAGAAUUUUUCUCAAUGGGGGAAACCCUGAAGGAGCGACGCCGCGUGGAGGAUGAAUGCUUUCGGGUUGUAAACUCCUGUCAUUUGGGAACAAAGCCUUACGUUAACUGCGUGGAGGUUUGAUAGUACCAGAAGAGGAAGAGACGGCUAACUCUGUGCCAGCAGCCGCGGUAAUACAGAGGUCUCAAGCGUUGUUCGGAUUCAUUGGGCGUAAAGGGCGCGUAGGCUGCGGGGCAAGUCGGGUGUGAAAUCUCAGAGCUCAACUCUGAAACUGCACUCGAUACUGCUUUGCUUGAGGACUGGAGAGGAGAUUGGAAUUCACGGUGUAGCAGUGAAAUGCGUAGAUAUCGUGAGGAAGACCAGUGGCGAAGGCGGCUCACUGGCCCGGUACUGACGCUGAGGCACGAAAGCGUGGGGAGCAAACAGGAUUAGAUACCCUAGUAGUCC
rnacentral:rRNA from 1 species